ensembl:misc_RNA Metazoa_SRP Metazoan signal recognition particle RNA
GCUGGGAGUCGGGGUGGGCACCUGUAGUCCCAGCUACCAGGGAGGCUGAGGUGGGAGAAUCACUGGAGCCCAGGAGGUGGAAGUGGCAGUGAGCCAAGACUGUGCCACUGCACUUCAGCCUGGGUGACAGAGUGAGACCCCAUCUCAA